rnacentral:rRNA from 1 species
GAUGAACGCUAGUGGCAGGCCUAAUACAUGCAAGUCGAACGAUAUCAUGCAGCUUGCUGGAUGAGAAAGUGGCGCACGGGUGCGUAACGCGUAUGCAACCUACCUUUAUCAGGGGGAUAGCCCGGAGAAAUCCGGAUUAAUACCGCAUAAAAUCACAGGAUGGCAUUAUCCAAUGAUCAAACAUUUAUGGGAUAAAGAUGGGCAUGCGUGUCAUUAGCUAGUUGGCGGGGUAACGGCCCACCAAGGCGACGAUGACUAGGGGAUCUGAGAGGAUGGCCCCCCACACUGGUACUGAGACACGGACCAGACUCCUACGGGAGGCAGCAGUAAGGAAUAUUGGUCAAUGGGCGGAAGCCUGAACCAGCCAUGCCGCGUGCAGGAAGACUGCCCUAUGGGUUGUAAACUGCUUUUAUCCGGGAAUAAACCUGCUUACGUGUAAGUAGCCGAAUGUACCGGAAGAAUAAGGAUCGGCUAACUCCGUGCCAGCCGCCGCAGAAA